rnacentral:lncRNA from 1 species
GCAGGCCCUGGUUUCUCUGAUGUUGGAUAACCCUGCUGUUCUGCUGAGGGUCUCUUAUCCAAACAGAACAGCCUUACAACACGCUUUCCAGCCCAUAAUGCUAUACCCACACUAUUCGCAACAUUUAAAAACUAUUGCAGUUUUGCAAAUCACAUCCAGCCCGGCCUUGAACACCUCCAGGGACGGGGCAUCCACAGCCUCUCUGGGCAGCCUGUGCCAGCACCUCACCGCUCUCUCGGUCGCUGCGGCUGUUUGGUUUUUAGUCCCAUCUCCCUUGGCCAUCCUAGCGAGGACCUCACGUGGAUCGACUGCAACGAAGGAUCCUGGCAGAGAGACAUCUGCUCGUCCUUGGAUAGAGAUGAGUGUGGAAGGAGGACAGAGGGAGCAUCCCGAUGCCGGCCUGCUGCAUCCCAACCUGUACACACACCCAACACCUCUACGCUGCCACGGGGGAAGGAGAUCGACUGAGCCCUUCUGUGCACCGAGAGGCGAUGAUGCGCAAAGGAGAUGAAGAAAAGCAGUCUCAGUGCGGUAAUGCUGGGAAGCAGCGGGAAAGGGCUGAGGGGGGAGAAAAGAGCCCGAGGCCACGGGAGGGUCCCCGGGCAGUCAGUGCCGAGGGCCGUGGGCGCAGGAAGGCGGAGUGCUCGUCCAGAAGGAAGAGGCGGAGGCGCGGGAGCAGCGGUCCCGUCCCCGUGUGCCGCGAGCUGAGGCGGAGGGAAGAGAGCGGCGGGAGCGAGCGGGGAGCUUGGCUGAGAGUGC